UUUGUGGUACCUUGUGGUAUGCACAUAAUAAAUUAUUGUGUUACUUCAUUACGUUUAGCGUGUAUGUUUACAUUGAGUAUCUGUCAUAUGUGGAGAUGUUGUUAUUGUUGUCUGGAGUGUGAAUCAUUGUAUGUAAUAUUGAAGUAUCGGUAAUAAAGUGUAUACAAAUAAUGAAUACAGUUGUUGAAUAAUCAUUACAGAGAAAGAUUCUCACAUUGGCGACGAGAACGGUGAACAGUGCAUGUGAAAUUAGUUUAAUUUCGGUUCGGGAAGUGUUGUCUUUGGAAAAAGAAAGAGAUGAGUGGUGUGUGUGGUGCAUGCAGAGUGGUGAUGACCUUCAGGUGAUGACUUGUGAUUGAAUUUCAACAUUGGAAUCAAAAAGGUACAACCAUAAGUAACAGCCAAGUAAUUUACCAAAAUGCCGAGCAGAGAUGGAUGACCAAAUGGAUGACUGUACUACUAAUUCUGAUGUGAGAUUGAAGCGAGACGUUCAUAAACUGAGGAGACUAUAAGCAAAAACAACGUGGAGUGACCUUGCUGCGGAUCUGGAGAAAAAACGAGAUGUGGUACCUUGUGGUAUGCACAUAAUAAAUUAUUGUGUUACUUCAUUACGUUUAGCGUGUAUGUUUACAUUGAGUAUCUGUCAUAUGUGGAGAUGUUGUUAUUGUUGUCUGGAGUGUGAAUCAUUGUAUGUAAUAUUGAAGUAUCGGUAAUAAAGUGUAUACAAAUAAUGAA